GUGUCAGCAGCCGCGGUAAUACGUAGGGGGCGAGCGUUGUCCGGAAUUAUUGGGCGUAAAGAGCGUGUAGGCGGAUAUUUAAGUCAGAUGUGAAAACUGGCGGCUCAACCGUGAGACUGCAUCUGAUACUGGAUAUCUUGAGGGUAAGAGAGGAAAGUGGAAUUCCUAGUGUAGCGGUGAAAUGCGUAGAUAUUAGGAGGAACACCAGUGGCGAAGGCGACUUUCUGGCUUACAACUGACGCUGAGACGCGAAAGCGUGGGGAGCAAACAGGAUUAGAUACCCUGGUAGUCCACGCCGUAAACGAUGGGUACUAGGUGUAGGAGGUAUCGACCCCUUCUGUGCCGCAGUUAACACAUUAAGUACCCCGCCUGGGGAGUACGGCCGCAAGGUUGAA
rnacentral:rRNA from 1 species